rnacentral:rRNA from 1 species
AUUGAACGCUGGCGGCAGGCCUAACACAUGCAAGUCGAGCGAGCGGCGGACGGGUGAGUCAUGCCUGGGACUUGCCCAGUCGAGGGGGAUAACAGUUGGAAACGACUGCUAAUACCGCAUACUCAUGGAUUGCCCAGGUGGGAUUAUCUAGUUGGUGAGGUAAUGGCUCACAAAGGCGACGAUCACUAGCUGGUCUGAGAGGAUGACCAGCCACACUGGAACUGAGACACGGUCCAUACUCCUCCGGGAGGCAGCAGUGGGGAAUAUUGCACAAUGGGGAAACCUGUAUGCAGCCAUGCCGCGUGUGGGAAGAAGGCCUUCGGGUUGUAAAGCACUUUCAGCGAGGAGGCGUUACUCGCAGAAGAAGCACCGGCUAACUCCGUGCCAGCCGCCGCGGUAAUACC